rnacentral:tRNA from 1 species
AGGGAUGUGACUCAGUGGUAGAGGACCUACUUCAUGUGCUGGAGGCCUAGAGUUGAAUUCUCAGCACUGCAA